UCUAAGUGGCUGGUUUCGGAUCCGCCCUGGGGCGCAGGACUGUGCGUCCCAAACACUCCCACUUAUGUUGAAAGCGAAUCAAUAUUGCUUUUAAUGUUUUUUACCUCCUGUGAUUGGAUGGUUCGAAGAGUCUCAUAACCGCGUUGGAGAUUGCUGUGUUAACUGAUAGCUACAGUACAGAUUAGUGAAAGCAAGUGAAAUAUCUUGAGAUGAAGGAAAAUAUGCUUUUAUCCUUACAAAAUCACCCUUUACAAGGUAUUUAAUUGAUGAAUAAAUAAAGGAUUAAGAAGCUUGGAUUAGAUCGACCAACGGAGUCAAAUGAUGGCAGUCUGUGUUCUCCACCACUUCUCAUGGCAAACGGAGUUGGCUAGCUGGAUAUCAUGUAAGUCUUCUUGAGUUUUAUUUUUUCCCUGUUUGCUGUUUUAAAGUCUAAAUGCGUGAUAGACGUGCACGACAUGAACUUUUGUGGCGCGUUUGAGCUUGUGUUGCGUGGACAUAAUGAGAGCGAGUGCUGCUCAUAUAAUCCGGUAUAUUUCGUGGCUUGGUCAACUUUGUUGUUAGUUUUGUUGUUGUACAGUGUUGUAGAGUUUAAAAAGCACCUACGAGAAAACCACCGUUUUUAAGGAAACUUCACGAACCGUGCAUAUUGAGCUGAUGGACUGUAUGUACUCCCUGUUGUGAGGGAAAAAUGUGCUUGUGCUAUGGCUAUAAAAGCAAAAAGAAACGUACGAGCCUGUGAUUAGGCAACUUUAGUGUCUCUUUUUGUGUGUAUUCGGUCGCGUUAAACGAAAAGUCUUUGACGGAGAGAAAAUUUAAGCAGGAUAAAGAAAAAUAUGAGCGCCAUUUUGGCAGAUGCCCAUACAACUCAACUUGAAAAUGUAAUUUCUAAGUAUGUCCAGUUGGUGGCAGUGUGUUGCUCAAAUGACGCCCUGGUUUCUAGAUAUUCUCGCGAUAUUUUGAUGUCAUACACUGAUUGGUCUGCGCAUGGCUGCUGAAGUUAAACACUACAGGUCAGGAGCGCUGCAACAAGACGCCUGUCUAAGGUAAAGAUACAAAAUCUAAUGACAAGAGUCUGCAUUAAUCUGCCUUCAUGCAUUUAUUACAUAAGAUGGUUUCAGAUGAGUUUAGUUCAAUUCAGAUUUUUACAUGUUUAUUGAUAUUUUAAUCGCAGUAGUAUUUUGUUAUUUGAUUUGUUCAUAUUUGCCUGUUCAGCAUAAAGCUCCGUGUUUUAUUGCCUCCGCUGUCACUGUGAGAAAAAAAAAAACAUUAAUUCAUCUGCUUCAUGUGAUGGUAAAGUGAUGCACGGUCUCCGUUUAUCUGUUCUCUAAACAAAUGAAUAAACACAUUUGACUUGUAUGCUCGUCUUGUAAGUUUAUGAUUAGAAAUGGACAUGUGAACGAAAAUGAAAAUAAUUAAAACAUGAAAUGACGGAUAAUAAAUGACUGCGAAGGACUCUUUACAACGCUGUUUUUCAAAAAAAAUGACGGAGAUUGAAAAUGUCUAUCGCAACCUCUCUCUCUCUCUCUCUCUCUCUCUCUCUCUCUCUCUCUCUCUCUCUCUCUCUCGUUGCUCUGUGUGUGUGUGUGUGUGUGUGUGCGUGCGUGUGAAUGAUUACCUUGAUAUUAGUUAAUUACAGAUUCAUAGUACAUUUAUUUCGUGCGUUUGAUUUCAACUGUAACAUUUUCAGCAUUAAAUGCUAAUGAUACUCAUCACCUGAUAAAUGGCUAUUAAGAGUACUGCAUUACUACAGUAAAAGUUUGAUUUUUAGUGUGUUUGCGCCCCCCCCAAAUUUUUUUAGCACCAGCCGCCACUGUACUGCAGUUUCCUGCAGGCAACGUGAAACAUUGCUGAGGGAGAACUUUAUUCACAACAAAAGGAUAAAGAUGAAGAGGCGGGACUUGAGCAGCUUGUGAUGGCUGUAAUUGUAAAGAAUGGAUCUUCUAGGAGUGGCAGCCCAAGGGAUGCUGGAAUUGUAUCCGAGGCCUUAAAGGUGUUCCCAGGGCAGGCUUUAUCCUCAUUGGAUUGGAUUGGAUCUAUGCAUUGAAUCUCCAGUAUCCCAGGCAUCUUUUCAGGUGUUUCAGAAACUUUUCUUGAAGCUGGAUUCUUCAAAGUUUAUAAACUGAUUACAGUACAGUAAGUCUAAACUGCUGUCUGAUGUUCUGGGUGUGAAUCAAUGUAACAGAACACAAACAUGGAACCUUUCGUCGGGAAAUGUGGACAGUUUUCUUUAAAGACUGUAAAAUACUUUUUGAAGUUUACACUGUUACAAAUACACCAUUAAAAAUGAGAUGCUUUCCUGUUCUUUUGACUGCAAUAAAAUAAGAAUUGAUUCA